rnacentral:rRNA from 1 species
GACGAACGCUGGCGGCGUGCUUAACACAUGCAAGUCGAACGGAAAGGCCCCUUUGGGGGUACUCGAGUGGCGAACGGGUGUGUAACACGUGAGUAACCUGCCCUUGACUUCGGGAUAACUUCAGGAAACUGGGGCUAAUACCGGAUAGGAAUCCUUGCUGCAUGGUGGGGGUUGGAAAGCUUCGGCGGUUUUGGAUGGACUCGCGGCUUAUCAGCUUGUUGGUGGGGUAGUGGCUUACCAAGGCUUUGACGGGUAGCCGGCCUGAGAGGGCGACCGGCCACAUUGGGUCUGAGAGACGGCCCAGACUCCGACGGGAGGCAGCAGUGGGGAAUAUUGCACAAUGGGCGGAAGCCUGAUGCAGCAACGCCGCGUGCUGGAUGACGGCCUUCGGGUUGUAAACCGCUUUCAGCAGGGGCGAAGCUUGUGGUGACGUUACCUGCAGAAGAAGCACCGGCUAACUACGUG